CCAAGCAGCCACCAGGUGCUUGAUUGCAGCAGCCAUUUUAGAUCUCUGGCCACCCAUAUAAACAGGGCAGUUCACUGCUGGCAAGCCAGACAGUAAAAUCGCCUGGCUGCAAGGCUCCAUAACAUCCUGGAGGUUUGGUGUAUCUGCUCAGAUCCCAAUCGUCUAUCCCCAACUGCCAGGACGACAUGCAGUUAAGUCAUUCAGCUCUUCCGAGUCCCUUCGGUGGGCUUGCUUCCGACAGGCUACUUUCCACCAGUCGCCCCUCCUGGGGCUUCUGAACCUCACUUCCAGUUCGCCCGUCUCCUCACACGGGACUGCUUUUAACCCAGACGCAGGGUUCCUCCUGUUCAAGCACAUGCUUACAAAGCAUGACCAUGCUGGUGCUGGGGUUACCCCAGUGCUCAUCUUUUUACUCUGUGCUGUUUCUUGUCAGUGUUCUGCCACUCCCUGCUGACUUUGCAGGUACGUUUCUUGUUGUAUUUCCUCCACACUGUCACAGAAGAAGAUGGUCCAGCAUUCAGAGGGAUGCAGUCUGUCCUGUUUGGGGGUACCUACAGGAGCAGAGAAGAUGAUUAACUGUGAACGGUGUCAUUUCAGGGCCCUAGACCGGGCAGAAUCCCGAGAUGAGGUACCCUGCUGCCAACCUGAGGAUAUUUCUUGGAUUAAAAAUGGACAUGCCACAACCAGGUGUCUCACAGCUGCGGGUGGUUAAGUUGUGCUAGCUCAUGAACGUGGACUAUGUUGCUAUAGAGAGCUAACAGUUAGUCCCUGUGGAUAGGGUUAGGGUCAGGUCUGUAGACACGUUGUUGCUUGCCUGUGACCCAAAAGCAGGUCAUAUUGUGCGAGGAACAGCAGUUAGCCAGGAGUCAACAACAGUUCAAGCCAGCAAGCCUCCCUUUUUACUUACCUUUACAUCAAAGUCAUGGCAAGCAAGAUAGGGUGGACAUGCUGUUGAAAAAUCACAUUUAAGAUACCUGCUGGGAUCUAAGGGCUAACACACAUCUAGUUCCACCAGGAAAGUAAGCAAGCAAGCAGAUCUGAUAAUACUUGUUCAUUUUCACCACCCCACUAGGAAGCUUAUCCUGGGGGCCGAUGCUGAUUGACUGAAUGUCCAGAAGGAUGGAUAGAAGAUCUGGCUGGGACAAUUUAUCUAGAGAGGGGGAGAAGGAGUCAGAGUGGUACAGUGCUGCUGCAAUAUCCAUGUGGAGGUGUAGUACAAAUAUGCUAGAUUUUAUGCCUAACUUUAGACCUAAUGCUUUAUUUUGGCAAAUGUGCUUCUGUAUCCAGUAUGGCUUGCAAGCAGAUUCUGCAUAUAAGUUAAAGACUGCUUAACACUUAGAACUAGCACAGUGACCUAGAGUUACAGGAAGACAGGGGGUUACUAAAGGGCACCAAGUUUACCGCAGUACCCCUGUGCUAAACACGCAGGUGCAACAUAUCCCAUAAUAAGUUGAGCAUAGCAACCUUUGAACUUCGACAUCCUGUGGAGACGUAGAUAUGAUCAUGGAAACUGUGACGUCUUGAAUAGAAGCUUGUAGAAAUCAUAAGACAACCAAUAGUUGCAAGAUUCUUUGUUUAGGUAAGCUAUAAAAGACCCCUGGACCAUACCCCGGGGUCGACUCUGCUUUGGGUUACUUAACCCCUUUGUCGAUCGAUUGCGCAAUCAAUAAACUUAUAAUGGACCUAG